AACUUUUGUCCUUGCGAUAUGAUUUAUAUUAUAUCCAAAGACAAUAAAAUAACUUCGUAGAUACUUCACCAUUGUAGACACACCAAUCAUGUACGUAUACUAUCCAUCUAGCUACCAAAUACCGAAUAAGAUGUUUAUUCAUUACCGACCGUCCCUAGAACAAGUGGUAAAAGGUUUGGUGGUUGAUAUCUGAGUUUCCAAGUUCGAAUCCUAGUUGAUUCACAUUUCUAACUAAGUUUAUUUCUAAAUGAAAUAAACGAAGUAGGUAGCGUGCUACCUAUUUCUCAAAAAAAAAAAGAAAAAAAAAAGAAAAACAGAUGUUUAUUCAUCCACAAGCCCUUAGUCGGAGAAUGUCAAUCACUUGUAUGAAUAACAAUAUGGUAAGAAUAUAUAGACAGCCCCUAGACCAUUUGGAAAUAUGACCCCUUUAUUCCUUUUGGCUGAUACCUUCUUGGCUUCUGUUAUUUUUGGAUUUGAUUAUUCUAAUUUAUUAAGUUAAAGAGUUUUAUUUUACAUUCUAAUCUCAUAUCUCUCUCUAAACUUAUCUUUUUUCUUCUAAACUUUAAUUCUUUUUCUCUCUCUAAACUAAGCUCUCUCUCUCCCUCUUUUUCUAAAAUCUCAACUCUCUCAUUCCUUCUAAUCUCGACUCUAUUUCUCUUCUUAUUUUUUUAAUUGUGGUCUCUCUCUCUCUCUAACUUAUGUUCUCUCUCCCUUUUUUCUAAAAAAAUAGUUGAAAUUUUUUGUAGCAUUAUCUAAAAUUAAUUAAUUAAAUUAAUUAAUUAAUUGUAUAUUUUUUGUAAUCUUAAAUAGUAUGACUAAAUAAUAUGGCGAUGCGAACUAAAUACAGAAAUGUCAUAUU
rnacentral:lncRNA from 1 species